AUUGAACGCUGGCGGCAGGCCUAACACAUGCAAGUCGAGCGAGCGGCGGAUGGGUGAGUAAUGUAUGGGGACUGCCCGAUCGAGGGGGAUAACUAAUGGAAACGGUGGCUAAUACCGAAUACUACCGGUAAACCCCUAUGGGAUUAGCUACUAGGUGGGGUAAAGGCCCACAUAGGCGACGAUCUCUAGUUGGUCUGAGAGGAUGAUCAGCCAAACUGGGACUGAGACACGGCCCAGACUCCUACGGAGGCAGGAGUGGGGAAUAUUGCACAAUGGGCGCAAGCCUGAUGUAGCCAUGCCGCGUGUAUGAAGAAGGCUUUAGGGUUGUAAAGUACUUUCAGCGGGGAGGCGUUACCCGCAGAGGAAGCACCGGCUAACUCCGUGCCAGCAGCCGCGGUAAUAC
rnacentral:rRNA from 1 species